rnacentral:rRNA from 1 species
CGUAGGUGGCGAGCGUUAUCCGGAAUCAUUGGGCGUAAAGAGGGAGCAGGCGGCCGCAAGGGUCUGUGGUGAAAGACCGAAGCUAAAACUUCGGUAAGCCAUGGAAACCGGGCGGCUAGAGUGCGGAAGAGGAUCGUGGAAUUCCAUGUGUAGCGGUGAAAUGCGUAGAUAUAUGGAGGAACACCAGUGGCGAAGGCGACGGUCUGGGCCGCAACUGACGCUCAUUCCCGAAAGCGUGGGGAGCAAAUAGGAUU